GUUAACGCUGGCGGCGUGCCUAACACAUGCAAGUCGAACGGAGCGUACCAGAAUAUCGGGCGCUUAGUGGCAGACGGGUGAGUAACACGUAAACAACCUGCCCUCAACUGGAGGAUAUCCUGACGAAAGUCGGACUAAUACUCCGUAAUACCCGGUCUCAGCAUUGGGACUGGAUGAGAGGCCCGCAAGGGUCGAUUGAGGGGGGGUUUGCGGCCUAUCAGCUAGUUGGCGGUGUAACGGACCACCAAGGCAAUGACGGGUAGCCGAUCUAAAAGGAUGACCGGCCACAAGGGCACUGAGACACGGGCCCUACUCCUACGGGAGGCAGCAGUGGGGAAUUUUGGACAAUGGACGAAAGUCUGAUCCAGCGACGCCGCGUGGAGGAUGAAGGUUUUCGGAUCGUAAACUCCUUUUACAGGGGACGAAAGCCCGCAAGGGUUUGACGGUACUCUGUGAAUAAGCCACGGCUAACUACGU
rnacentral:rRNA from 1 species